CAGAUAGUCAAUCUGCAAAAAAAUAAAUCGUAAUCACAGCCCUAGUCCCUCGUAGACUUUGUAAUCACGCUCUUUGGAUCUAUAGGUCUGAACAAUUCCACCUUACUAAUAUCAUUCAAUGGUGAAUGAUCAGUAUGGAUUAGUUGACUGCAAAACACCUACUGAUUCCAUUUCCCAUAGGUUAGGCCCCCUUUGUAUUUAAAAACUAAAAAAAGGUUGCAAGGAGUCGAUUCAAGUCACCUCUAACUAUUCACGUCUUGUAUUUAUUCAAUUUACACGCCGUUAAAACUUUAAACCACGGUUUUACCUCGCUAUCAUACAAAUACGUAUACAUGACGAUUGUCGAUGUUUAUGUUUCUUUUGCUCCUAUCAGUUCUCUAAACGUUGAUUAAGUGAAUUCGUUCUUGUUAAGCUGUGAACAAUUAUUGAAUAAUAAUUCCAUAUUUUGGAAGAAUUGUCCCGACUGCCUAUUGAUUUUGGGCCCUUAUUUCUGUUUCUUUUGAAAGAAAAGGCUGGGAAAUACAAUAAAGGUAACAACGUGUUAGGCUGCUACAAAUAACAAGCGGGACGUACUACAUAAUUUGACUUCACUUAAUGUCUACGGUAGUGCGUGUUAGCUGUCCAUGUUUAUUUAUAUUAAAACAUCCAUCCUCCUCAUCUUCUCUUCGUUUCGGGACAUAAGGGAAAUGAAAUGGAAAUCUUAUUCAGUGUUAACUAUUUAACCUUGUCAUCCUCAAUUCUAGAAUGCAUUCCAAGACCAAGAUGGCUAUCAAUUAUCAUAAGCCUUCUUCAUCAAUUAGAAGAUACUAGAUAGAAACUCCUUGGCGAAUUGUGGAAUUGAAUCUAUCAAAAGAUCAUAUUACUUCCUCACUCCCGUCAUUAAACAACAAGUCAUUCUGAUAAUGUGGAACAUAAUUACAUAUAGUGAUCAUGAAUAAUUAUUUGUAAACAUUCCUUCUGUUUCAUUCCAGUUUUAAUUCAUAACGAGUGUUUUAGGUGUAAGGAGUCAUAAAUAAAUUCAAUUACCGACUA
rnacentral:lncRNA from 1 species